ACGCUGCGAGUGCGCCACCAGUCCGCCAUCUUUCUUACCUUUUUGAUGGUUGUUGACUUGUAAAUUUUGUAAUUAGUUUUUGCCGACGUCCGUUUUUUAAGUAAUUUUUGGUAUUUUACAAAUUGUGUUACUUUAGUGGACACGUGGAGACAUGGACGCUGACUGUUGGAAGAAUUCGUCAAUUCAGACUGGCGCAAAGAGCUAUCAGGGCGCGAUGCCAGGAAUUUCAUUGCGAGACAGAAUUCGAAAUGAGGAUAUUCGCCAACGCAAUAAAGUUACCGACAUUGCAAAAAGGAUUAACUCAAGUGGGAAUGGACCGGCUAUAUUUUUCGCAGAGAUGACGAUCAAUGGGGUCGCCUAGUAUUGCUGUGGAGACCUAGCCUGGGUGGCCGAGGUGGCGGGAAACCACGAGCAGAUGGUCGGAUGACACAUAUAGAACGGAGUGGAAACCCACGGAAUGCAGACCAGGAUCAUAUACUUUAGGUAUGAGUUUGUUACUUUUGCUCAUAAUAACAUGGAGUAUGUCACGGCUGCUCCACGGGCUGCAUUGAAGGGCAACAGGAGCGAAAAUGUUAAAAUGGAAAGGAGCUCCCCCUUUCAAUUAGGGAAUCUUAGGAUAUGCUAAGGCAAACAGAAGGAGGCAAGGAACGGGACUGCAUCAAUUGCUGUCUGGAACCAAUCUUGUGGGAUGACUUCUGGACCUGGAAAAACAAUUUCAUCAUCUACCCUAAUACUGACGAAUGUUCUAAAACGUGCUGUAAGGCAGACAUUUCCAAAUGUAACGGAGGAAAGUUUCGAGACAUGUAAUGGUUUCAACAUGCUGCUGAGACCCAACUCAAGAGACGUCAGUUUGUACUGUUUAGUCCAUUCUCUAUUGGGCAUGCUUGUAUAGAGAGGUAUAUAUAUAUAUAUUGGAGUACAGACAUGGUGUUUGGUAUGAGUAUUAUAUACAUCCUUUUGAGUCAAAUAGGACCGGUAGCCACUUUGAACUCCGUGUCCGAAAGGGUCAAAGUAUGGAGCUCCCGGUACUCAGAAAAAAAAUUCUGGCCUAUUAGUUUUGAACUUUCGAGUCAAGUUUGGUGUCAUUUUUAAACUGUUCGCUUCGUUUUUAAAUUGAAGAAGAUUAAAAAUCACAGUAAUAUUAUAAAGGCAAAAGUUUGUGAGCAUACCGUGUUUGUUACUUCCUCACGCCACGCCCAAGUGCCUUAACAAAUAUUAUUUAUAAAAUUAAGUAUGGAGGAAGUACGAUAUACCCUAAGUUAACACGUCGCUUCUUCUUGAUCGUGGGUAACACUCGGGGCGCAGUAUAAUGAUUAUUAAAAAUCUUUAUGCUGUCCCCUAUGGUGCGAUGGCGAUCGUUGCAGUACUUUCAAUAUUUUUUUUACAUCAAAUAUUAGAAUCAUCAAAGAUUACUAAUAAAAUAGGCUUUUUAGAAA